rnacentral:hammerhead_ribozyme from 1 species
GUAUGGCUGAGGAGUCCCACAAUAGGACGAAAUGGCCGUCCAUUGC